rfam:Cephalotus follicularis DNA, scaffold: scaffold1443, isolate: St1.
UCCUCAGUAGCUCAGUGGUAGAGCGGCCGGCUGUUAACUGACUGGUCGUAGGCUCGAAUCCUACUUGGGGAG